AUAAACAAAACUAUAGAAAGUGAAUGAGUGGAAAAAAAUAAAAUACAAAUUAUCAAAAAGUUACCAAAGAAUUACUAAAUUCAAGAAUUGAACUUUCUGAACCAAUUUGAGGUAUUUGGAAAAUAUUUCCUAGUCUCAUGAUUAAAUACAUUUUUUUGAUAAGGAUGUGUUAAUGACAAGCAUCCUUGUUACGAAAGGGUCAACGAAUAGGAAAUAAUCGAUAAUUCGAUAUUCAUCGCAAAUCGUUUCGCGAGUUGUUUUCGUACAUACAUACACACACACACACACAGGAUAGAAAACA